AGCAGCCAUGCCAUGAGGUGGAGUGCCGCUAGGUUGGGGCAGAGGAGGCAGCCCUGGUCCUGGGAGAGCAGGUCCAGGUGGGAUGGCAACAGCCAUGGCGGGGCGACCGCCAGGCUUGUGAGGGUCCUGUACCAAUGUUGCCUGGGCCAUGCCAGGGCAAUCAGGAAGACCUGUCCGUUUUUAUCUUCUCCAAGACCUUGCCGAUCAACGGGAUUAGGGGGAAGGCAUAGAGAAGCUGGCCCGACCAGGACAGGAGGAAGGCAUCGGAGAUGGUGCCCACGCCCAACCCUGCCCCCCCCCCGGAGCAGAAACGGGGACACCAGCAGUUCAGCUGAGUCGCGAACAGGUCCACCUGGGGAGUUCCCCACUCUUGGAAAAUCCUGUGCACCACCUCUGGGUGUAGUGACUCGUGCUAAGAGGAGAAGUCUCAGCUCAGGCGUCCGCCCAUGAGUUCCGGGCGCCCGGCCCAGGGUGGCACAUGUGGACAGGAGGAGCGCCAUGUGAUCCCGCACCUGUGACCUGGAGCUGCCCUUGACCAGCCAGUCGUCAAGAUAGGGGAAGAGCUGAACCCCACGACAUCUGAGGGCCUUGCUGUCGAACGAAAGGUCCUGCAGGGAGUUCUGCGCCUCGCUGGACAGCCCAGACAGCAGGAGCCACGACGCCCUCCUCAUGGACACCGCGGAGGCCAUGGACCACGCGGCUGUAUCCGCAGCAUCUGAUGCUGCCUGCAGGGUCACCCUGGCAGCUGCUGUCCCCUCCUCCACCAGAGCCUUGAACUCCUUCCUGUCACGCUCCGGGAGGGAGUCCUCAGAUUUGGGCAGAGAGCCCCACAAAUUGAACUCAUACCACCUUAGGAGGGCUUGAUGGUUUGCCACCCUUAACUGGAAACUCAAGGACGAAUAAACCUUUCUCCUGAAU